rnacentral:rRNA from 1 species
UACGAAGGGGGCUAGCGUUGUUCGGAAUCACUGGGCGUAAAGCGCACGUAGGCGGAUAUUUAAGUCAGGGGUGAAAUCCCAGAGCUCAACUCUGGAACUGCCUUUGAUACUGGGUAUCUUGAGUAUGGAAGAGGAGAGUGGAAUUCCUGGUGUAGCGGUGAAAUGCGCAGAUAUCAGGAAGAACACCCGUGGCUAAGGCGGCUCUCUAGUACGGUACUGACGCUGAGACGCGAAAGCGUGGGGAGCGAACAGG